GGGUCGUUAGCUCAGUUGGUAGAGUAGUUGACUUUUAAUCAAUUGGUCGCAGGUUCGAAUCCCGCACGACCCACCA
rnacentral:tRNA from 1 species